UACAGAGGGUGCGAGCGUUGUUCGGAAUCACUGGGCGUAAAGCGCGCGCAGGCGGGCGAGUAAGUCAGAAGUGAAAUUCCCGGGCUCAACCCGGGAACUGCGUCCGAUACUGGAAGGCUUGAAUCCGGGGAGAGGGAUGCGGAAUUCCAGGUGUAGCGGUGAAAUGCGUAGAUAUCUGGAGGAACACCGGUGGCGAAGGCGGCAUCCUGGACCGGCAUUGACGCUGAGGCGCGAAAGCCAGGGGAGCAAACGGGG
rnacentral:rRNA from 1 species